rnacentral:tRNA from 1 species
UAGAAUGUCGCUCAGUGGUAGAGUGCUUGCAUACUAUGCAUGAGCUCUUGGGUUCAACCCCCAGCACCCAAA